CUCCUCUGAUGUCUGGGAUAGUGCUGCUUGCCAGUGGCCAGGACUUAAGUUUAGGAUCUAGAUGUUGUCAUAGCCUGUUUCUUAGGGCCUGACAGGUAGUGAGUGCCUAAGAAGUGUCUGUUGGCUGCAUGAAGGAAUGGCCCCCCAUGGGCCUCUGGAUGAGGGCUGGUAGGGCCAGUGCUGGUGGGCUUCUGGAAAGCAGAGAAGUUGGAGUCUGCCGAACAAUGGCUCCAUCCUUGAAAGAGGGGAGCUGCUACAGGCCUGGGAAGAAAAGCAGAGUUGGAGAAGGGACAGAGGGGCCUUGGGACUGAGCACGGCACCAGCAGUCCUCUGAGGACAGUGGUCCCACCAGCUCCGGGUUCUGCUGAGCUCUGAGCUUCUCUCCUGAGUGGACGCAGAGGGUAGCAUCUGUCUCAUCCCCGACAGGGAAGCCAGGCCCACUCUGCCCUCUGCAGGGGGAUUUAUUAUUUUCUCUUUUCCAGUUUCCCUCACUCUGCCAUGCACUUCUAGGUGAAUUUCACUUUCCAGAUGGCAAACGUAGGGCCUGGGGACAGAAUAGCACCUACUGGCUCUUCUUCAGAACAGCCUUCUGCCCUGUCAUUCCUGCUGGUAGCUU